rnacentral:rRNA from 1 species
GAUGAACGCUGGCGGCGUGCCUAAUACAUGCAAGUCGAGCGAACGGACGAGAAGCUUGCUUCUCUGAUGUUAGCGGCGGACGGGUGAGUAACACGUGGAUAACCUACCUAUAAGACUGGGAUAACUUCGGGAAACCGGAGCUAAUACCGGAUAAUAUUUUGAACCGCAUGGUUCAAAAGUGAAAGACGGUCUUGCUGUCACUUAUAGGUGGAUCCGCGCUGCAUUAGCUAGUUGGUAAGGUAACGGCUUACCAAGGCAACGAUGCAUAGCCGACCUGAGAGGGUGAUCGGCCACACUGGAACUGAGACACGGUCCAGACUCCUACGGGAGGCAGCAGUAGGGAAUCUUCCGCAAUGGGCGAAAGCCUGACGGAGCAACGCCGCGUGAGUGAUGAAGGUCUUCGGAUCGUAAAACUCUGUUAUUAGGGAAGAACAUAUGUGUAAGUAACUGUGCACAUCUUGACGGUACCUAAUCAGAAAGCCACGGCUAACUACGUG